rnacentral:rRNA from 1 species
GCUAUUGCUAUCGGGGUCCGAUUCAGCCAUGCUAGUUGUACGGGUUUAGACCCGUAGCAAAUAGCUCCGUAACACGUGGUCAAACUACCCUCUGGACCGGGAUACCCUCGGGAAACUGAGGCUAAUUCCGGAUACUGCUUUCAUGUUGGAACACAGAAAGUCGGAAACGGUCCGCCGCCGGAGGACGUGACUGCGGCCGAUUAGGUAGACGGUGGGGUAACGGCCCACCGUGCCGAUAAUCGGUACGGGUUGUGAGAGCAAGAACCCGGAGACGGUAUCUGAGACAAGAUACCGGGCCCUACGGGGCGCAGCAGGCGCGAAACCUUUACACUGCACGCCAGUGCGAUAAGGGGACCCCGAGUGCGAGGGCAUACAGUCCUCGCUUUUCGUGACCGUAAGAAGGUCUCAGAAUAAGAGCUGGGCAAGACCGGUGCCAGCCGCCGCGGUAAUACCGGCAGCUCGAGUGAUAGCCACUAUUAUUGGGCCUAAAGCGUCCGUAGCCGGCCGAACAGGUCCGUCGGGAAAUCCACCCGCUCAACGGGUGGACGUCCGGCGGAAACCAGUCGGCUUGGGGCCGGGAGACCAGAGAGGUACGUCCGGGGUAGGAGUGAAAUCCUGUAAUCCUGGACGGACCGCCGGUAGCGAAAGCGUCUCUGGAGAACGGACCCGACGGUGAGGGACGAAAGCUUGGGUCUCGAACCGGAUUAGAUACCCGGGUAGUCCAAGCUGUAAACGAUGCUCGCUAGGUGUGGCGUUGGCUACGAGCCAGCGCUGUGCCGUAGGGAAGCCGAGAAGCGAGCCGCCUGGGAAGUACGUCCGCAAGGAUGAAACUUAAAGGAAUUGGCGGGGGAGCACUACAA